GGGGAAUUUUCCGCAAUGGGCGAAAGCCUGACGGAGCAAUACCGCGUGAGGGAGGAAGGCUCGUGGGUUGUAAACCUCUUUUCUCAAGGAAGAAAAAAAUGACGGUACUUGAGGAAUAAGCAUCGGCUAACUCCGUGCCAGCAGCCGCGGUAAUACGGAGGAUGCAAGCGUUAUCCGGAAUGAUUGGGCGUAAAGCGUCCGCAGGUGGCUAUGUAAGUCUGCUGUUAAAGAGUCUGGCUCAACCAGAUAAAGGCAGUGGAAACUACAUGGCUAGAGUGCGUUCGGGGCAGAGGGAAUUCCUGGUGUAGCGGUGAAAUGCGUAGAGAUCAGGAAGAACACCGGUGGCGAAAGCGCUCUGCUAGGCCGCAACUGACACUGAGGGACGAAAGCUAGGGGAGCGAAUGGGAUUAGAUACCCCAGUAGUCCUAGCCGUAAACGAUGGAUACUAGGCGUGGCUUGUAUCGACCCGAGCCGUGCCGUAGCUAACGCGUUAAGUAUCCCGCCUGGGGAGUACGCAGGCAACUGUGAAACUCAAAGGAAUUGACGGGGGCCCGCACAAGCGGUGGAGUAUGUGGUUUAAUUCGAUGCAACGCGAAGAACCUUACCAGGACUUGACAUGUCGCGAAUUUCUGUGAAAGCAGAAAGUGCCUUCGGGAGCGCGAACACAGGUGGUGCAUGGCUGUCGUCAGCUCGUGUCGUGAGAUGUUGGGUUAAGUCCCGCAACGAGCGCAACCCUCGUUUUUAGUUGCCAGCAUUAAGUUGGGCACUCUAGAGAGACUGCCGGUGACAAACCGGAGGAAGGUGGGGAUGACGUCAAGUCAGCAUGCCCCUUACGCUCUGGGCUACACACGUACUACAAUGCUACGGACAAAGGGCAGCAAGCAUGCGAAUGCAAGCUAAUCUCAUAAACCGUGGCUCAGUUCAGAUCGCAGGCUGCAACUCGCCUGCGUGAAGGAGGAAUCGCUAGUAAUUGCAGGUCAGCAUACUGCAGUGAAUUCGUUCCCGGGCCUUGUACACACCGCCCGUCACACCAUGGAAGCUGGUAGUGCCCGAAGUCAUUACCCCAACCGCUUGCGGAGGGGGAUGCCUAAGGCAGGACUGGUGACUGGGGUGAAGUCGUAACAAGGUAGCCGUACCGGAAGGUGUGGCUGGAUCACCUCCU
rnacentral:rRNA from 1 species